rnacentral:rRNA from 1 species
AUGUACGCGAGGCGCGCGUCGCAGCUGCUGAAGGAGCUCGACGCCUGCGAGCCCGGCCAGCUCGUGGUUUUCAACAGCGACGUAUUUGAUCAGGUCAUUAGAGAGUGCGGUGAGCACAAUGCACAGUUUCAGGCAUUGAUCAGAAAAAUGGUGGAGCAAAACUUAGACAUUGAAACAACAAGAAACGAAGACCACUAUGGUGCAGCUAUCCACCAUCUCUCGCUGCUCCGCAACAAAAGAUGCCUCAUGGCUUACAUGUACAACCGAGCAGAAACUAUUCGGAGUUUUAGAUGGAAAAUUGGUCCUGUGCUUCCUCAUGAAAUACAAGAAAAGCUCAAUUUCUCAGAGAAAGAGUACUUCAGAAGCCACUCUUCAGCCAUUAAGUCUUAUAUCUCAGAGAUGGAUAUAGAUUUAACAGUGGACAUGGUACCCCCCAAGGAUCCUUAUAUCCAGGUUCGAGUGCUGGAGGACAUUGGUGAAGUAUCUCUUGGUGACCAUUCCGUGUCAUUGACAAAAAAUUCACUCCAUUUCCUUAGGCGCACAGAUGCAGAACAGUUUAUAUCACAGGGUCUCAUGGAAGAAUUUCUGGAGUAG